GAUGAACGCUGGCGGCGUGCCUAAUACAUGCAAGUCGAGCGAACGGACGAGAAGCUUGCUUUUCUGAUGUUAGCGGCGGACGGGUGAGUAACACGUGGAUAACCUACCUAUAAGACUGGGAUAACUUCGGGAAACCGGAGCUAAUACCGGAUAAUAUUUUGAACCGCAUGGUUCAAAAGUGAAAGACGGUCUUGCUGUCACUUAUAGAUGGAUCCGCGCUGCAUUAGCUAGUUGGUAAGGUAACGGCUUACCAAGGCAACGAUGCAUAGCCGACCUGAGAGGGUGAUCGGCCACACUGGAACUGAGACACGGUCCAGACUCCUACGGGAGGAAGCAGUAGGGAAUCUUCCGCAAUGGGCGAAAGCCUGACGGAGCAACGCCGCGUGAGUGAUGAAGGUCUUCGGAUCGUAAAACUCUGUUAUUAGGGAAGAACAUAUGUGUAAGUAACUGUGCACAUCUUGACGGUACCUAAUCAGAAAGCCACGGCUAACUACGUG
rnacentral:rRNA from 1 species